rnacentral:rRNA from 1 species
CCCUUAGAUGUCCUGGGCCGCACGCGCGCUACACUGAUGCAUUCAACGAGUUUUACCUUGGCCGAGAGGCCUGGGCAAUCUUUUAAACCUGCAUCGUGAUAGGGAUAGAUUAUUGCAAUUAUUUAUCUUGAACGAGGAAUUCCUAGUAAACGCAAAUCAUCAAUUUGCAUUGAUUACGUCCCUGCCCUUUGUACACACCGCCCGUCGCACCUACCGAUUGAAUGGUCCGGUGAAGCCUCGGGAUUGUGGCCAGUUCACUUUAUUGGGAGUUGGCUGUGAGAACUUGUCUAAACCUUAUCAUUUAGAGGAAGGUGAAGUCGUAACA